UACGUAGGCAGCAAGCGUUGUUCGGAAUUACUGGGCGUAAAGGGUGCGUAGGCGGCUUUUUAAGUUUGGUGUGAAAUCUCCCGCUUAACUGGGAGGGUGCGCCGAAGACUGGAAGGCUUGAGUAUGGGAGAGGUAAGCGGAAUUCCUGGUGUAGCGGUGAAAUGCGUAGAUAUCAGGAGGAACACCUGCGGUGUAGACGGCUUACUGGACCAUAACUGACGCUGAGGCACGAAAGCGUGGGUAGCAAACAGG
rnacentral:rRNA from 1 species